CAAAGAACCGAAUCCUUCCUCAAACUGAACUGAAAGAGGCUGCGUGUGUUGAAACGCUUUGAAAGAUGCAAGUGAACUCCUGUGGUUUCCUCCCACAUCCGGUGAUGAAACGCGCUGAUAAGAAUACACAUUUUUCGUUCUCUCACAAAGAACCCGGAUGCGCCGCCAUACUUAUCAGCAAGCAGAAAAUAUGAAAUCAUACACCAUUUAUCAACACUGGCUCAGACGUGACUUGAGAAGCCGAAGCCCUGUCAUGCCC